AUGCAUUCGGGAUCUAUAAUCUUCGUUACAUAAAUCUAGAGGACAUAAAAAUAUCUCUAUUGCUUUCCCUGAUGCAUCAUAUUCCUAAGAACCUGACUAUCUUUAGGGUGAUUUUUGUCCUAAAUUGACAAUUGAUCGCCACCAUAUCAUCUCACAAAUGGAAUUAGAAAAAAUAAACGGUGCUAUAAAGAUGCAUUGAAAGACAUGGAAGCAUACUGUGAUGAAUUUG
rnacentral:lncRNA from 1 species